GACAGAGGGGGCAAGCGUUGCUCGGAAUCACUGGGCGUAAAGGGCGCGUAGGCGGGAUGGCAAGUCAGUCGUGAAAUCUCUCGGCUCAACCGAGAAACGUCGGCUGAUACUGCCGUUCUUGAGGGAUGCAGAGGAGACUGGAAUUCCCGGUGUAGCGGUGAAAUGUGUAGAGAUCGGGAGGAACACCGGUGGCGAAGGCAGGUCUCUGGGCCGCAACUGACGCUGAGGAGCGAAAGCAUGGGGAGCGAACAGG
rnacentral:rRNA from 1 species